AACGGGUAAAGCCGAAAGAUUGACGGCCGC
rnacentral:sRNA from 1 species